rnacentral:rRNA from 1 species
UACGUAGGGUGCAAGCGUUGUCCGGAAUUAUUGGGCGUAAAGAGCUCGUAGGCGGUCUGUUACGUCGGCUGUGAAAACCUGGGGCUCAACUCCGGGCCUGCAGCCGAUACGGGCAGACUAGAGUUCGGCAGGGGAGACUGGAAUUCCUGGUGUAGCGGUGAAAUGCGCAGAUAUCAGGAGGAACACCGGUGGCGAAGGCGGGUCUCUGGGCCGAAACUGACGCUGAGGAGCGAAAGCGUGGGGAGCAAACAGGAU